rnacentral:ncRNA from 1 species
AUUAUUACAAUGAAAAAGAGGAGUAGUAAAAAUAAGAGCUUUAGCGAGAUUGGGAGAGUGGAAGCCAAUUGUUUCUGUUUUUAUGAAGGGCGCUUUGGAGUGAUAACUUUGAAAGAGGAAUGCGUAAGCAUUCAAUAAGGGUGGAACCGCGGAAGAUAACCUUUCGUCCCUUGC